AGCGUACACGGUGGAUGCCCUGGCAGUCAGAGGCGAUGAAGGACGUGCUAAUCUGCGAUAAGCGUCGGUAAGGUGAUAUGAACCGUUAUAACCGGCGAUUUCCGAAUGGGGAAACCCAGUGUGAUUCGUCACACUAUCAUUAACUGAAUCCAUAGGUUAAUGAGGCGAACCGGGGGAACUGAAACAUCUAAGUACCCCGAGGAAAAGAAAUCAACCGAGAUUCCCCCAGUAGCGGCGAGCGAACGGGGAGCAGCCCAGAGCCUGAAUCAGUGUGUGUGUUAGUGGAAGCGUCUGGAAAGGCGCGCGAUACAGGGUGACAGCCCCGUACACAAAAAUGCACAUGCUGUGAGCUCGAUGAGUAGGGCGGGACACGUGGUAUCCUGUCUGAAUAUGGGGGGACCAUCCUCCAAGGCUAAAUACUCCUGACUGACCGAUAGUGAACCAGUACCGUGAGGGAAAGGCGAAAAGAACCCCGGCGAGGGGAGUGAAAAAGAACCUGAAACCGUGUACGUACAAGCAGUGGGAGCACGCUUAGGCGUGUGACUGCGUACCUUUUGUAUAAUGGGUCAGCGACUUAUAUUCUGUAGCAAGGUUAACCGAAUAGGGGAGCCGAAGGGAAACCGAGUCUUAACUGGGCGUUAAGUUGCAGGGUAUAGACCCGAAACCCGGUGAUCUAGCCAUGGGCAGGUUGAAGGUUGGGUAACACUAACUGGAGGACCGAACCGACUAAUGUUGAAAAAUUAGCGGAUGACUUGUGGCUGGGGGUGAAAGGCCAAUCAAACCGGGAGAUAGCUGGUUCUCCCCGAAAGCUAUUUAGGUAGCGCCUCGUGAACUCAUCUCCGGGGGUAGAGCACUGUUUCGGCAAGGGGGUCAUCCCGACUUACCAACCCGAUGCAAACUGCGAAUACCGGAGAAUGUUAUCACGGGAGACACACGGCGGGUGCUAACGUCCGUCGUGAAGAGGGAAACAACCCAGACCGCCAGCUAAGGUCCCAAAGUCAUGGUUAAGUGGGAAACGAUGUGGGAAGGCCCAGACAGCCAGGAUGUUGGCUUAGAAGCAGCCAUCAUUUAAAGAAAGCGUAAUAGCUCACUGGUCGAGUCGGCCUGCGCGGAAGAUGUAACGGGGCUAAACCAUGCACCGAAGCUGCGGCAGCGACGCUUAUGCGUUGUUGGGUAGGGGAGCGUUCUGUAAGCCUGUGAAGGUGUACUGUGAGGUAUGCUGGAGGUAUCAGAAGUGCGAAUGCUGACAUAAGUAACGAUAAAGCGGGUGAAAAGCCCGCUCGCCGGAAGACCAAGGGUUCCUGUCCAACGUUAAUCGGGGCAGGGUGAGUCGACCCCUAAGGCGAGGCCGAAAGGCGUAGUCGAUGGGAAACAGGUUAAUAUUCCUGUACUUGGUGUUACUGCGAAGGGGGGACGGAGAAGGCUAUGUUGGCCGGGCGACGGUUGUCCCGGUUUAAGCGUGUAGGCUGGUUUUCCAGGCAAAUCCGGAAAAUCAAGGCUGAGGCGUGAUGACGAGGCACUACGGUGCUGAAGCAACAAAUGCCCUGCUUCCAGGAAAAGCCUCUAAGCAUCAGGUAACAUCAAAUCGUACCCCAAACCGACACAGGUGGUCAGGUAGAGAAUACCAAGGCGCUUGAGAGAACUCGGGUGAAGGAACUAGGCAAAAUGGUGCCGUAACUUCGGGAGAAGGCACGCUGAUAUGUAGGUGAAGCGACUUGCUCGUGGAGCUGAAAUCAGUCGAAGAUACCAGCUGGCUGCAACUGUUUAUUAAAAACACAGCACUGUGCAAACACGAAAGUGGACGUAUACGGUGUGACGCCUGCCCGGUGCCGGAAGGUUAAUUGAUGGGGUCAGCGCAAGCGAAGCUCUUGAUCGAAGCCCCGGUAAACGGCGGCCGUAACUAUAACGGUCCUAAGGUAGCGAAAUUCCUUGUCGGGUAAGUUCCGACCUGCACGAAUGGCGUAAUGAUGGCCAGGCUGUCUCCACCCGAGACUCAGUGAAAUUGAACUCGCUGUGAAGAUGCAGUGUACCCGCGGCAAGACGGAAAGACCCCGUGAACCUUUACUAUAGCUUGACACUGAACAUUGAGCCUUGAUGUGUAGGAUAGGUGGGAGGCUUUGAAGUGUGGACGCCAGUCUGCAUGGAGCCGACCUUGAAAUACCACCCUUUAAUGUUUGAUGUUCUAACG
rnacentral:rRNA from 1 species